CUGCGGCAGCGACACUGUGUGUUGUUGGGUAGGGGAGCGUUCUGUAAGCCUGUGAAGGUGUGUCGUGAGGCAUGCUGGAGGUAUCAGAAGUGCGAAUGCUGACAUAAGUAACGAUAAAGCGGGUGAAAAGCCCGCUCGCCGGAAGACCAAGGGUUCCUGUCCAACGUUAAUCGGGGCAGGGUGAGUCGACCCCUAAGGCGAGGCCGAAAGGCGUAGUCGAUGGGAAACGGGUUAAUAUUCCCGUACUUGGUGUUACUGCGAAGGGGGGACGGAGAAGGCUAUGUUGGCCGGGCGACGGUUGUCCCGGUUUAAGCGUGUAGGUGUGUGUUCCAGGUAAAUCCGGUUCACUUUAACACUGAGGCGUGACGACGAGGCACUACGGUGCUGAAGCAACAAAUGCCCUGCUUCCAGGAAAAGCCUCUAAGCAUCAGGUAACAUCAAAUCGUACCCCAAACCGACACAGGUGGUCAGGUAGAGAAUACCAAAGCGCUUGAGAGAACUCGGGUGAAGGAACUAGGCAAAAUGGUGCCGUAACUUCGGGAGAAGGCACGCUGACACGUAGGUGAAGUGAUUUACUCAUGGAGCUGAAGUCAGUCGAAGAUACCAGCUGGCUGCAACUGUUUAUUAAAAACACAGCACUGUGCAAACACGAAAGUGGACGUAUACGGUGUGACGCCUGCCCGGUGCCGGAAGGUUAAUUGAUGGGGUCAGCGCAAGCGAAGCUCCUGAUCGAAGCCCCGGUAAACGGCGGCCGUAACUAUAACGGUCCUAAGGUAGCGAAAUUCCUUGUCGGGUAAGUUCCGACCUGCACGAAUGGCGUAAUGAUGGCCAGGCUGUCUCCACCCGAGACUCAGUGAAAUUGAACUCGCUGUGAAGAUGCAGUGUACCCGCGGCAAGACGGAAAGACCCCGUGAACCUUUACUAUAGCUUGACACUGAACAUUGAGCCUUGAUGUGUAGGAUAGGUGGGAGGCUUUGAAGUGUGGACGCCAGUCUGCAUGGAGCCGACCUUGAAAUACCACCCUUUAAUGUUUGAUGUUCUAACGUGGACCCGUUACCCGGGUUGCGGACAGUGUCUGGUGGGUAGUUUGACUGGGGCGGUCUCCUCCUAAAGAGUAACGGAGGAGCACGAAGGUUGGCUAAUCCUGGUCGGACAUCAGGAGGUUAGUGCAAUGGCAUAAGCCAGCUUGACUGCGAGCGUGACGGCGCGAGCAGGUGCGAAAGCAGGUCAUAGUGAUCCGGUGGUUCUGAAUGGAAGGGCCAUCGCUCAACGGAUAAAAGGUACUCCGGGGAUAACAGGCUGAUACCGCCCAAGAGUUCAUAUCGACGGCGGUGUUUGGCACCUCGAUGUCGGCUCAUCACAUCCUGGGGCUGAAGUAGGUCCCAAGGGUAUGGCUGUUCGCCAUUUAAAGUGGUACGCGAGCUGGGUUUAGAACGUCGUGAGACAGUUCGGUCCCUAUCUGCCGUGGGCGCUGGAGAACUGAGGGGGGCUGCUCCUAGUACGAGAGGACCGGAGUGGACGCAUCACUGGUGUUCGGGUUGUCAUGCCAAUGGCACUGCCCGGUAGCUAAAUGCGGAAGAGAUAAGUGCUGAAAGCAUCUAAGCACGAAACUUGCCCCGA
rnacentral:rRNA from 1 species